rnacentral:rRNA from 1 species
GUUUAUAUAUCCGUUUAGCUUCACUAUUUAUAUAAUAGACCGCUGAAUUUACUUUUGUACAUUAUGUCUGCCUUAUUCAGGUGACUAUAGCAUCAGGGUUCCACCUCUUCCCAUUCCGAACAGAGAAGUUAAGCCUGAUCACGCCGAUGGUACUGCGUAACAGUGGGAGAGUAGGUAGUCGCCGUUUUUUUCAGAUGGUUCAUCCCCUUCGGUCGAAAGACCGGAGGGGAUGACUUGUUUUAUACGGGGCGGAGGAAAGGGAGCGCCAGGCUGCCCUCCGGAUAACACUUUCUUAAUGGAGAUGGCUAUGGGAAAUCCGAUAGCCUUUUCUUGUCCUAUAUAACGGUUAUUGGAAGAGGUGGGUGUCUCCGCAUCCCUUGGGGGCACGGAGCCUUGCAAAAGAGGCGAUUCAAGCGAAUGAAUGGGUUUUAUAUAGGAAAAAAUGUGUCGUAAGAGUAGAGGGAUAUAAGGAAGGUGCUUUUGUGAGCUGUUUUACACUCUACUGUCAGCCCCCCACAUCA